UGGUACGGCCCACGUGGUUCCGACAGUCAAGAUGGCGGGAGCAGCUACCCAGGCUUCCCUGGAGUCGGCCCCACGGAUCAUGCGGCUGGUGGCCGAAUGCAGCCGCUCCAGGGCCCGGGCAGGCGAGCUGUGGCUGCCGCAUGGGACAGUGGCCACUCCUGUGUUCAUGCCAGUGGGCACGCAGGCCACCAUGAAGGGCAUCACGACCGAACAGCUGGACGCUCUGGGUUGCCGCAUCUGCCUGGGCAAUACCUACCAUCUGGGUCUAAGGCCGGGACCCGAGCUGAUCCAGAAAGCCAACGGUCUCCACGGCUUCAUGAAUUGGCCUCAUAAUCUGCUAACGGACAGCGGCGGUUUCCAGAUGGUGUCGCUGGUGUCUCUGUCCGAGGUGACGGAGGAGGGCGUCCGCUUCCGCUCCCCCUACGACGGCAAUGAGACCCUGCUGAGCCCGGAGAAAUCCGUGCAGAUCCAGAAUGCGCUGGGCUCGGACAUCAUCAUGCAGCUGGACGAUGUGGUUAGCAGUACUGUGACUGGGCCACGUGUGGAGGAGGCCAUGUACAGGUCAAUCCGCUGGCUGGACCGGUGCAUUGCAGCCCAUCAGCGGCCGGACAAGCAGAACCUCUUCGCCAUUAUCCAGGGUGGGCUGGACGCAGAUCUCCGGGCCACCUGCCUUGAAGAGAUGACCAAGCGAGACGUGCCUGGCUUCGCCAUCGGGGGCCUGAGCGGGGGUGAGAGCAAGUCGCAGUUCUGGCGGAUGGUGGCGCUGAGCACCUCUCGGCUGCCGAAGGACAAGCCCCGAUAUCUGAUGGGGGUUGGGUAUGUUGUGGAUAGGGAAGCCAGAGCCCUGUGGGAAGUGGAUUCCUGGGGACCCCCUACCCUGCUUGGGGAGGUGGCAUUUGGGGGAAACGGACACAGGUCUGAUCUGAGGAGACUAGGAAGACAUGGCUGUCCCUUGGGGGCCAUUCUGAGGGAAUAUGGCCCAGUCUGGGGCAGUGUGAGGGUUGGGAGGGGCCCUGGGAAGCCCCUGAGGUUCUCUGCCCCCUCCCGUCAUGGCUGCAACCCCAGCUAUGCCACUGAUCUGGUAGUCUGCGUGGCUCUUGGAUGUGACAUGUUCGACUGCGUCUUCCCCACACGGACAGCGCGCUUUGGCUCUGCCCUGGUGCCCACUGGGAACCUGCAGUUGAGGAAGAAGGUGUUUGAGAAGGACUUCGGCCCCAUAGACCCGGAGUGCACCUGCCCCACGUGCCAAAAGCACAGCCGCGCCUUCCUGCACGCGCUGCUGCACAGUGACAACACGGCCGCGCUGCACCACCUCACGGUCCACAACAUCGCCUACCAGGUGAGCCAGUGCCCGGGGCAAGGUGGGCGGGGCUGUCCUAGGUGCGUAUGCCCCACGCUGACCUCCCCUCCCCGCAGCUGCAGCUCAUGAGCGCCGUCCGCACCAGCAUCGUGGAGAAGCGCUUCCCGGACUUCGUGCGGGACUUCAUGGGCGCCAUGUACGGGGAUCCCACCCUCUGUCCCACCUGGGCCACUGACGCUCUGGCCUCUGUGGGAAUAACACUGGGCUGACCUGGCAUUGGGAGAGGGAGGGAGGAAGGAAGGGAGGGAGGGGCUGGAAGAUACUGAAGGAUUUCUUUUUGGAAG
rnacentral:sRNA from 1 species